rnacentral:rRNA from 1 species
AGUGAACGCUGGCGGUAGGCCUAACACAUGCAAGUCGAACGGCAGCACAGUAAGAGCUUGCUCUUACGGGUGGCGAGUGGCGGACGGGUGAGGAAUACAUCGGAAUCUACUUUUUCGUGGGGGAUAACGUAGGGAAACCUACGCUAAUACCGCAUACGACCUACGGGUGAAAGCAGGGGAUCUUCGGACCUUGCGCGAUUGAAUGAGCCGAUGUCGGAUUAGCUAGUUGGCGGGGUAAAGGCCCACCAAGGCGACGAUCCGUAGCUGGUCUGAGAGGAUGAUCAGCCACACUGGAACUGAGACACGGUCCAGACUCCUACGGGAGGCAGCAGUGGGGAAUAUUGGACAAUGGGCGCAAGCCUGAUCCAGCCAUACCGCGAGGGUGAAGAAGGCCUUCGGGUUGUAAAGCCCUUUUGUUGGGAAAGAAAAGCAGCAGGUUAAUACCCCGCUGUUCUGACGGUACCCAAAGAAUAAGCACCGGCUAACUUCGUG